rnacentral:rRNA from 2 species
UACGUAGGGAGCGAGCGUUGUCCGGAUUUACUGGGCGUAAAGGGCGCGUAGGCGGUCUGUUUAGUGUGAAGUGAAAUCUCCAGGGCUCAACCCGGAAACUGCUUUGCAAACUGGCAGACUAGAGGAAGGUAGAGGUAAGUGGAAUUCCCGGUGUAGCGGUGACAUGCAUUGAUACCGGGAGGAACACCCGUGGCGAAGGCGGCUUACUGGACCUUAUCUGACGCUGAGGCGCGAAAGCGUGGGUAGCAAACAGG